rnacentral:rRNA from 1 species
GACGAACGCUGGCGGCGUGCUUAACACAUGCAAGUCGAACGGAAAGGCCCUGCUUUUGUGGGGUGCUCGAGUGGCGAACGGGUGAGUAACACGUGAGUAACCUGCCCUUGACUUUGGGAUAACUUCAGGAAACUGGGGCUAAUACCGGAUAGGAGCUCCUGCUGCAUGGGGGGGGUUGGAAAGUUUCGGCGGUUGGGGAUGGACUCGCGGCUUAUCAGCUUGUUGGUGGGGUAGGGGCUUACCAAGGCUUUGACGGGUAGCCGGCCUGAGAGGGUGACCGGCCACAUUGGGACUGAGAGACGGCCCAGACUCCUACGGGAGGCAGCAGUGGGGAAUAUUGCACAAUGGGCGGAAGCCUGAUGCAGCAACGCCGCGUGCGGGAUGACGGCUUUCGGGUUGUAAACCGCUUUCUCCUGUGACGAAGCGUGAGUGACGGUAAUGGGUAAAGAAGCACCGGCUAACUACGUG